rnacentral:rRNA from 1 species
GCAACUCGACUGCGUGAAGGUGGAGUCGCUAGUAAUCGCGGAUCAGCAACGCCGCGGUGAAUGCGUUCCCGGGCCUUGUACACACCGCCCGUCAAGUCAUGAAAGUGGGCAGCACCCGAAGACGGUGGCCUAACCCUUGUGGGGGAGCCGUCUAAGGUGAGGCUCGUGAUUGGGACUAAGUCGUAACAAGGUACC